rnacentral:tRNA from 1 species
GCAUCUGUGGUGGAAUGGCAGACACGCUGGAUUUAGGUUCCAGUGCCGCGAGGCGUGAGGGUUCGAGUCCCUCCAGAUGCACCA